rnacentral:lncRNA from 1 species
CUUAGGUUCUGUUUCAUACUCUCAUUCGUUCUUUGCAUAUUUAACUCAUUUCUUAUAUUCAUUUCUUUUGAUUAGAACUGUUAAUUGUUUUUUCUGCAUUAGAUUGAUGUAGAAGUAGUCCUAACAUUAAGUUUUUGCAUCUGAGUUCAGUUCUGGCUGAAUUAAGUUGUUUUUCAAAUGUUUGGACUGCUGAAACUGAUGUUUAAAGUUGAGAAAUAUGAUUGUUCAGUUCUGAUUGAGGAAAUGGNUGAAAAAUGAUUGAAUUGGCAGGAUAGGUUGAGUUUUGAAUAAGUCUAGUGUUCCUAGUUUGUGUUUAGUCUUUUAAUUGUUUCUGAGUUUUGUUUUGAGUCUUUCAUUUUGUAGUUUGAGUCUUUGUUUUCAUUUUAGUUAUCCCUGUCCAGGAUGACAGUUUCUUUGUAAAUAGUCAUUCUUAAUUAUGAUUUGUAAACGUUUAUUUGUUUUGCUGAUUUUCGGAUUCAUGAAGUUUGUUCUAGGAUUGCUUAGGUUCUUUUCUUUCCAUUUUUUUUGUAAAUACAGCUCAUACUAGUUUUCUUCUAUGUUUUGCUUUUCUACNUUUAAUUUUCUGCUUUAAUUCCUUAGACCAUUCUUUGUUCAUUGCUUCUGUAAAUANGAAUUGUUUUAGGUUCUUUCCUUUCUAGGUUCUGUUUUAAGCUGCCAUUAGGAAAUUUUUUUCCUUUCGUCGUUCCUGUUUCUAUUAUUAGGAUUUGAUAGGUUCAUAGUUUCUUCUUUUCUUAUCUUCCUUUUUCCUUUUGUUGUUUUGUUUAGUAUAACUUUGGUUUAAGAGUUGUUUUAGGUUCUUUUAUCCAGUCUUAGAUUGUAUAGGUUGUAUAUAGUGUAGGAGAUGAUGUUAGGCAUUUCUAGGUUCAUCUUAGGUUCUAUUUCAUACUCUCAUUCUUUCUUUGCUUAUUUAACUCAUUUCUUAGUUUCAUUUCUUUUGAUUUGAAUGGUUAAUUGUGUUUUUCGCUUUAGAUUGAUGUAGAAGUAGUCCUAGCAUUAAGUUUUUGCAUCUGAGUUCAGUCCUGGUUGAAUGAAGUUGUUUUUCAAAUGUUUGGACUACUGAAACUGAUGUUUAAAGUUGAGAAAUAUGAUUGUUCAGUUCUGAUUGAGGAAAUGGCUNAAAAAUGAUUGAAUUGGCAUGAUAGGUUGAGUUGUGAAUAAGUCUAGUGUUCCUAGUUUGUGUUUAGACUUUUAAUUCUUUCCGAGUUUUGUUUUGAGUCUUUCAUUUUGUAGUUUGANUCUUUGUUUUCAUUUUAGNUAUCCCUGUNCAGGAUGACAGUUUCUUUGUAAAUAGUCAUUCUUAAUUAUGAUUUGUAAACGCUUAUUUCUUUUGCUGAUUUUCGGAUUCAUUAAGUUUUUUCUAGGAUUGGUUAGGUUCUUUUCUUUCCAUUGUUUUUGUAAAUACAACUUGUACUAGUUUUCUUAUAUUUUUUGCUUUUCUACCUUCAAAUUUUUGCUUUAAUUCCUUAGACCAUUCUUUGUUCAUUGCUUCUGUAAAUAGGAAUUGCUUUAGGUUCUUUCCUUUCUAGGUUCUGUGUUAAGCUGCCAUUAGAAAUUUUUUUUUUGCUUUCAUCGUUCCUGUUUCUAUUAUUAGGAUUUGAUAGGUUCAUAGUUUCUUCUUUUCUUAUUUUCCCUUUUCCUUUUGUUGUUUUCUUUUGUAUAACUUUGGUUUAAGAGUUGUUUUAGGUUCUUUUAUCCAGUCUUAGAUUGUAUAUGUUGUAUAUAGUGUAGGAGAUGAUGUUAGGCAUUUCUAGGUUCAUCUUAGGUUCUGUUUCAUACUCUCAUUCAUUCUUUUCUUAUUUAACUCAUUUCGUUGUUUCAUUUCUUUUGAUUUGAACGGUUAAUUGUGUUUUUUUCUUUAGAUUGAUGUAGAAGUAGUCCUAGCAUUAAGUUUUUGCAUCUGAGUUCAGUCCUGGCUGAAUUAAGUUGUUUUUCAAAUGCUUGGACUGCUUAAACUGAUGUUUAAAGUUUAGAAAUAUGAUUGUUCAGUUCUGAUUGAGAAAAUGGUUGGAAAAUGAUUGAAUUGGCACGAUAGGUUGAGUUGUGAAUAAAUCUAGUGUUCCUAGUUUCUGUUUAGUCCUUUAAUUGUUUCUGAGUUUUGUUUUGGGUCUAUCAUUUUGUAUUUUAUUUUAGUUUUCCUGUCUAGGAGGGCAGUUGCUUUGUAAAUAGUCAUUCUUAAUUUUGAUUUGUAAACGAUUAUUACUUUUGCUGUCUUUAGGAUUCGUUAAGUUUCAAGGAUUGCUUAGAUUCUUUUCUUUUCAUUGUUUUUGUUUUUUUAAAUAGAACUCGUACUAGUUUUCUUUUUCUAUUUUUUGGUUCUUCUUGUUUGAAUUUUCUGUUUUGAUUCCUUAGAACAAUCAUUGUUCAUUGCUUCGGUAAAUAGGAAAUGCUUUAGGUUUUUCCUUUCUAGGUUCUAUUUUAAGCUGUCAUUAGGAAUUGUUUUAGUUUUCAUCGUUCCUGAUUUUAUUACUAGGAUUUGCAAAGGUUCAUAGUUACUUCGUUUCUUAUCUUCUUCUCUUUUUCUUUUGUUGUUUUCUUUCGUAGAACUUUGUUUUAAGGGUUGUUUUAGGUUCUUUUAUCGAGUCUUAGCUUGUAUAGGUUGCAUAUAAUUUAGGAGAUGAUGUUAGACAUUUCUAGGUUCAUCUUAGGUUCUGUUUCAUACUCUCAUUCAUUCUUUGCUUAUUUAACUCAUUUCUUAGUUUCAUUUCUUGUAAUUAGAACUGUUAAUUGUGUUUUCUGCUUUAGAUUCAUGUAGAAGUAGUCCUAGGAUUAAGUUUUUGCAUCUGAGUUCUGCCCUGGCUGAAUUAAGUUGUUUUUCAAAUGCUUGGACUGCUGAAACUGAUGUUUAAAGUUGAGAAAUGUGAUUGUUCAGUUCUGAUUGGGGAAAUGGCUUGAAAAUGAUUGAAUUGGCACGAUAGGUUGAGUUUUUAAUAAGUCUAGUGUUUCCUAGUUUGUGUUUAGUCUUUUAAUUGUUUCUGAGUUUUGUUGUGGGUCUUUCAUUUUGUAGUUUGAGUCUUUGUUUUCAUUUUAGUUUUCUCUGUCCAGGAUGACAAUUUUUUUGUAAAUAGUCAUUCUUAAUUUUGAUUUGUAAACACUAUUUCUUUUGCUAUUUUCGGAUUCAUUAGGUUUUUUCUAGGAUUGCUUAGGUUCUUUUCUUUCCAUUGUUUUUGUAAAUACAGCUCGUACUAGUGUUCUUCUUCUAAUUUUAUUUUUUCUACCUUUAAUUUUCUGCUUUAAUUCCUUAGACCAUUCUUUGUUCAUUGCUUCUGUAAAUAGGAAUUGCUUUAGGUUGUUUCCUUUCU